GCUUCGCCUAACGGUAAGGCAUCUGACUUAGGAUCAGACUAUUGGGGGUUCGAGUCCCUCAGCGU
rnacentral:tRNA from 2 species